rnacentral:rRNA from 1 species
CUUCGGGGUCAGCGGCAGACGGGUGAGUAACGCGUGGGAACGUGCCCUUCGGUUCGGAAUAACUCAGGGAAACUUGAGCUAAUACCGGGAUACGCCCUUUUGGGGAAAGGCUUGCUGCCGAAGGAUCGGCCCGCGUCUGAUUAGCUAGUUGGUGAGGUUACGGCUCACCAAGGCGACGAUCAGUAGCUGGUCUGAGAGGAUGAUCAGCCACACUGGGACUGAGACACGGCCCAGACUCCUACGGGAGGCAGCAGUGGGGAAUAUUGGACAAUGGGGGCAACCCUGAUCCAGCCAUGCCGCGUGAGUGAUGACGGCCUUAGGGUUGUAAAGCUCUUUUCUCCGGGACGAUAAUGACGGUACCGGAGGAAUAAGCCCCGGCUAACUUCGUGCCAGCAGCCGCGGUAAUACGAAGGGGGCUAGCGUUGCUCGGAAUCACUGGGCGUAAAGGGCGCGUAGGCGGCUGAUUUAGUCGAGGGUGAAAGCCUGUGGCUCAACCACAGAAUUGCCUUCGAUACUGGUUGGCUUGAGACCGGAAGAGGACAGCGGAACUGCGAGUGUAGAGGUGAAAUUCGUAGAUAUUCGCAAGAACACCAGUGGCGAAGGCGGCUGUCUGGUCCGGUUCUGACGCUGAGGCGCGAAAGCGUGGGGGAGCAAACAGGAUUAGAUACCCUGGUAGUCCACGCUGUAAACGAUGAAUGCUAGCCGUUGGUCUGCAUGCAGGUCAGUGGCGCCGCU